rnacentral:rRNA from 1 species
UAAUACGUAGGGGGCGAGCGUUAUCCGGAUUUACUGGGCGUAAAGCGCGUUAAGGCGGCCGGCAAAGUUGAGGGUGAAAUUUCGGGGCUCAACCCUGAAACUGCCUCCAAUACUGGUCGGCUAGAGUACGAGAGAGGAAGGUGGAAUUCCCGGUGUAGUAGUGAAAUGCGUAGAUAUCGGGAGGAACACCAGUGGCGAAGGCGGCCUUCUGGCUCGUAACUGACGCUGUAGCGCGAAAGCGUGGGGAGCGAACGGGAUUAGAUACCCCGGUAGUCCACGCUGUAAACGAUGUGUACUAGGUGUUGGGCGUAUUGACGCGCUCAGUGCCGCAGCUAACGCAUUAAGUACACCGCCUGGGGAGUACGGCCGCAAGGUUA